rnacentral:rRNA from 1 species
CCUACGGGUGGCAGCAGUGAGGAAUAUUGGUCAAUGGACGAGAGUCUGAACCAGCCAAGUAGCGUGAAGGAUGACUGCCCUAUGGGUUGUAAACUUCUUUUAUAAAGGAAUAAAACGUGCCACGUGUGCGUUUUUGUAUGUACCUUAUGAAUAAGGAUCGGCUAACUCCGUGCCAGCAGCCGCGGUAAUACGGAGGAUCCGAGCGUUAUCCGGAUUUAUUGGGUUUAAAGGGAGCGUAGAUGGAUUGUUAAGUCAGUUGUGAAAGUUUGCGGCUCAACCGUAAAAUUGCAAUUGAUACUGGCAGUCUUGAGUACAGUUGAGGUAGGCGGAAUUCGUGGUGUAGCGGUGAAAUGCUUAGAUAUCACGAAGAACCCCGAUUGCGAAGGCAGCUUACUAAACUGCGACUGACAUUGAUGCUCGAAAGUGUGGGUAUCAAACAGGAUUAGAUACCCGUGUAGUC